rnacentral:rRNA from 1 species
AUGCUUUAUACAUGCAAGUCGAACGGAGGCCCUAGCUUGCUAGGUGUCCUUAGUGGCGCACGGGUGAGUAACACGUGGGAACAUACCUUAUAGUACGGAAUAACUGCGGGAAACUGUAGCUAAUACCGUAUAUUCCAGUAAUGGGAAAGAUUUAUCGCUAUAAGAUUGGCCCGCGCAAGAUUAGCUUGUUGGUGAGGUAAAAGCUCACCAAGGCUUCGAUCUUUAGCUGGUUUGAGAGGACGAUCAGCCACACUGGGACUGAGACACGGCCCAGACUCCUACGGGAGGCAGCAGUAGGGAAUAUUGGACAAUGGGGGCAACCCUGAUCCAGCAAUGCAGCGUGAGUGACGAAGGCCUUAGGGUUGUAAAACUCUUUCAUCGGUGAGGAUAAUGACAGUAGCCGAAGAAGAAGGACCGGCUAAUUCCGUGCCAGCAGCCGCGGUAAUACGGAAGGUCCUAGCGUUGUUCGGAAUUACUGGGCGUAAAGCGCAUGUAGGCGGAACAGAAAGUUAGAAGUGAAAUCCCUGGGCUCAACCUAGGAAUUGCUUUUAAAACUUCUGUUCUGGAAUUCAGGAGAGGAAAAUGGAAUUUCCAGUGUAGAGGUGAAAUUCGUAGAUAUUGGAAGGAACACCAGUGGCGAAGGCGAUUUUCUGGACUGAUAUUGACGCUGAGAUGCGAAGGCAUGGGUAGCAAACGGGAUUAGAUACCCCGGUAGUCCAUGCAGUAAACGAUGGGUGCUAGUCGUCGGACUUUUGUUCGGUGUCGUAGCUAACGCGUUAAGCACCCCGCCUGGGGAGUACGGU